UGUCAACGGGUCGGAUUCGGUGCGGAUUUUUAAAAAUCCAAAUCCGAACCUGACUCCAAACCCCAAACCCGAAUCCGACGGAUUUUAAAAAUCCAUAUCCAAAUCCGAAUCCAACCAAAAAUCCGAAACUCGAACCCGAACCUGAAAAUCCGAACCCGAAACAAUUAUUUCUCUUUUCAAUAUUUCAAAAUAUAUUAUAUUAAAUUUAAAUUUUUAAAAUAUAAAUUCAAAUAUAAUAUCAAAUUUUUAUAUACAUAUUAUAUAUGAGUCCAACUGCUAUGCUAUCGAUAGCACCAAGCACUUGGUGCUAUCAAGGUUUCUGCCAUUAGAUUAACCCCUUUAAUUAUUUUUACCCGUUAGAUUAUACUAUUCAACCAACCACCCACUCAACCCUAGGGGAUCCAUCCUAACAAUACAUUUCUUAAUCCAAGGGCUAAAAAACUAUAAU
rnacentral:lncRNA from 1 species